rnacentral:rRNA from 1 species
GGUCCCUACGGGGCGCAGCAGUGAGGAAUAUUGGUCAAUGGGCGGAAGCCUGAACCAGCCAAGUCGCGUGAGGGAUUAAGGCCCUGCGGGUCGUAAACCUCUUUUGCCGGGGAGCAGAGGUCCGGACGUGUCCGGGCCGGGAGAGUACCCGGAGAAAAAGCAUCGGCUAACUCCGUGCCAGCAGCCGCGGUAAUACGGAGGAUGCGAGCGUUAUCCGGAUUUAUUGGGUUUAAAGGGUGCGCAGGCGGUCUGUUAAGUCAGCGGUCAAAGCCCGGGGCUCAACCCCGGCCCGACGUUGAAACUGG